GAGAGAGACUAUGAAGUAUUAAGAACUGCUAAUUCCUAAAUCCAUGGUUAAAAUCCACGGCUCACUCG
rnacentral:tRNA from 1 species